UUUGUGGGAAAUAUAGUCCGCACUGGGAGCUUUAUUCAGUUAAUAUUCAGCUAAUAUGAACUGAAUAAAGCUCCCAGUGCGGACUAUAUUUCCCACAAA